GCCGGAUUAGCUCAGUUGGUAGAGCAACUGAUUUGUAAUCAGUAGGUCGGGGGUUCGAGUCCCUCUUCCGGCACCA
rnacentral:tRNA from 1 species